GACGAACGCUGGCGGCGUGCCUAACACAUGCAAGUGGAGCGACGAACCGGGCUUCGGCCCGGGGCCAAGCCGCGAACGGGUGAGUAACACGUGGGUAACCUGCCCUGAUGAUUGGGACAACCCGAGGAAACUCGGGCUAAUACCGAAUGUGCCCUCCGACCAUAAGGUCUGCGGGGAAAGGAAGCUUCGGCCUCCGCAUCGGGAUGGGGCCCGCGGCGCAUUAGCUUGUUGGUGAGGUAACGGCUCACCAAGGCGACGAUGCGUAGCUGGUCUGAGAGGACGAUCAGCCACACUGGGACUGAGACACGGCCCAGACUCCUACGGGAGGCAGCAGUGGGGAAUCUUGCGCAAUGCGCGAAAGCGUGACGCAGCAACGCCGCGUGGGGAAGACGGCCU
rnacentral:rRNA from 1 species